UGCAGCAACGCCGCGUGAGGGAUGACGGCCUUCGGGUUGUAAACCUCUUUUAGCAGGGAAGAAGCGAAAGUGACGGUACCUGCAGAAAAAGCGCCGGCUAACUACGUGCCAGCAGCCGCGGUAAUACGUAGGGCGCAAGCGUUAUCCGGAAUUAUUGGGCGUAAAGAGCUCGUAGGCGGUUUGUCGCGUCUGCUGUGAAAUCCCGAGGCUCAACUUCGGGUCUGCAGUGGGUACGGGCAGACUAGAGUGCGGUAGGGGAGAUUGGAAUUCCUGGUGUAGCGGUGGAAUGCGCAGAUAUCAGGAGGAACACCGAUGGCGAAGGCAGAUCUCUGGGCCGUAACUGACGCUGAGGAGCGAAAGGGUGGGGAGCAAACAGGCUUAGAUACCCUGGUAGUCCACCCCGUAAACGUUGGGAACUAGUUGUGGGGUCCAUUCCACGGAUUCCGUGACGCAGCUAACGCAUUAAGUUCCCCGCCUGGGGAGUACGGCCGCAAGGCUAAAACUCAAAGGAAUUGACGGGGACCCGCACAAGCGGCGGAGCAUGCGGAUUAAUUCGAUGCAACGCGAAGAACCUUACCAAGGCUUGACAUAUACGAGAACGCUGCAGAAAUGUAGAACUCUUUGGACACUC
rnacentral:rRNA from 1 species